GUGGGGAAUAUUGGGCAAUGGGCGAAAGCCUGAUCCAGCAAUGCCGCGUGCAGGAAGAAGGCCUUCGGGUUGUAAACUGCUUUUGUACGGAACGAAACGGUCCGGGUUAAUACCCUGGGCUAAUGACGGUACCGUAAGAAUAAGCACCGGCUAACUACGUGCCAGCAGCCGCGGUAAUACGUAGGGUGCAAGCGUUAAUCGGAAUUACUGGGCGUAAAGCGUGCGCAGGCGGUUUUGUAAGACAGGCGUGAAAUCCCCGGGCUCAACCUGGGAAUUGCGCUUGUGACUGCAAGGCUGGAGUGCGGCAGAGGGGGAUGGAAUUCCGCGUGUAGCAGUGAAAUGCGUAGAUAUGCGGAGGAACACCGAUGGCGAAGGCAAUCCCCUGGGCCUGCACUGACGCUCAUGCACGAAAGCGUGGGGAGCAAACAGGAUUAGAUACCCCAGUAGUCC
rnacentral:rRNA from 1 species